rnacentral:rRNA from 1 species
AUUGAACGCUGGCGGCAGGCCUAACACAUGCAAGUCGAACGAGUGGCGGACGGGUGAGUAAUGUCUGGGAAACUGCCUGAUGGAGGGGGAUACCUACUGGAAAAGGUAGCUAAUACCGCAUACCAUCAGAUGUGCCCAGAUGGGAUUAGCUAGUUGGUGGGGUAAAGGCUCACCAAGGCGACGAUCCCUAGCUGGUCUGAGAGGAUGACCAGCCACACUGGAACGGAGACACGGGCCAGGCUCCGCCGGGAGGCAGCAGUGGGGAAUAGUGCGCAAUGGGCGCAAGCCUGCUGCAGCCAUGCCGCGUGUAUGAAGAAGGCCUCCGGGUUGUAAAGUACUUUCAGCGGGGAGGCGUUACCCGCAGAAGAAGCACCGGCUAACUCCGUGCCAGCCGCCGCGGUAAUUC